rnacentral:rRNA from 1 species
UACGUAGGGGGCAAGCGUUGUCCGGAAUCAUUGGGCGUAAAGAGCGUGUAGGCGGCCAGAAAAGUCCGCUGUGAAAACUCGAGGCUCAACUUCGAGCUGUCGGUGGAAACUUUCUGGCUAGAGUCCGGAAGAGGAGAAUGGAAUUCCUGGUGUAGCGGUGAAAUGCGCAGAUAUCAGGAAGAACACCCGUGGCGAAGGCGGUUCUCUGGGACGGUACUGACGCUGGAGACGCGAAAGCGUGGGGAGCAAACAGG